AUUGAACGCUGGCGGCAUGCCUUACACAUGCAAGUCGAACGGUAACAGGUCUUCGGAUGCUGACGAGUGGCGAACGGGUGAGUAAUACAUCGGAACGUGCCCAGACGUGGGGGAUAACGAGGCGAAAGCUUUGCUAAUACCGCAUACGAUCUAAGGAUGAAAGCAGGGGACCGCAAGGCCUUACGCGUUUGGAGCGGCCGAUGGCAGAUUAGGUAGUUGGUGGGAUAAAAGCUUACCAAGCCGACGAUCUGUAGCUGGUCUGAGAGGACGACCAGCCACACUGGGACUGAGACACGGCCCAGACUCCUACGGGAGGCAGCAGUGGGGAAUUUUGGACAAUGGGCGAAAGCCUGAUCCAGCAAUGCCGCGUGCAGGAUGAAGGCCUUCGGGUUGUAAACUGCUUUUGUACGGAACGAAAAGGCUCUGGCUAAUACCUGGGGCACAUGACGGUACCGUAAGAAUAAGCACCGGCUAACUACGUG
rnacentral:rRNA from 1 species